CAGUCGCCGCGGUAAUACGUAGGUGGCAAGCGUUGUCCGGAAUUAUUGGGCGUAAAGGGUGCGUAGGCGGGUCUUUAAGUCAGGGGUGAAAUCCUGGAGCUCAACUCCAGAACUGCCUUUGAUACUGAAGAUCUUGAGUUCGGGAGAGGUGAGUGGAACUGCGAGUGUAGAGGUGAAAUUCGUAGAUAUUCGCAAGAACACCAGUGGCGAAGGCGGCUCACUGGCCCGAUACUGACGCUGAGGCACGAAAGCGUGGGGAGCAAACAGGAUUAGAUACCCGAGUAGUCCCUGUCUCUUAUAC
rnacentral:rRNA from 1 species